AGAGUUUGAUCAUGGCUCAGGAUGAACGCUAGCGGCAGGCUUAAUACAUGCAAGUCGAGGGGCAGCAUGACUGUAGCAAUACAGUUGAUGGCGACCGGCAAACGGGUGCGGAACACGUACACAACCUUCCUUUAAGUGGGGAAUAGCCCAGAGAAAUUUGGAUUAAUACCCCGUAACAUUAUGAUGUGGCAUCACAUUAUAAUUAAAGCUCCGGCGCUUAAUGAUGGGUGUGCGGCUGAUUAGAUAGUUGGCGGGGUAACGGCCCACCAAGUCUACGAUCAGUAACUGGUGUGAGAGCACGACCAGUCACACGGGCACUGAGACACGGGCCCGACUCCUACGGGAGGCAGCAGUAAGGAAUAUUGGUCAAUGGACGCAAGUCUGAACCAGCCAUGCCGCGUGGAGGAUGAAGGCCCUCUGGGUUGUAAACUUCUUUUAUAUGGGACGAAAAAGGGUCUUUCUAGAUCAACUGACGGUACCAUUUGAAUAAGCACCGGCUAACUCCGUGCCAGCAGCCGCGGUAAUACA
rnacentral:rRNA from 1 species